ensembl:lncRNA
UGUGUGUGACUAUCACUGCUCCCUGACUGUGGUGUGUGUGACUGUAUCACUGCUCCCUGACUGUGGUGUGUGUGACUGUAUCACUGCUCCCUGACUGUGGUGUGUGUGACUGUAUCACUGAUCCCUGACUGUGGUGUGUGUGUGACUGUAUCACUGAUCCCUGACUGUGGUGUGUGUGUGACUGUAUCACUGAUCCCUGACUGUGGUGUGUGUGACUGUAUCACUGAUCCCUGACUGUGGUGUGUGUGACUGUAUCACUGCUCCUUGACUGUGGUGUGUGUGUGACUGUAUCACUGAUCCCUGACUGUGGUGUCAACUGUCUUUGAUCUGUCAGGGGAGGUUAGAUUAAUAUGAUGAGGGUAAUGAGGAUCUGUCAGGGGAGGUUAGAUUAAUAUGAUGAAGGUAAUGAGGAUCUGUCAGGGGAGGUUAGAUUAAUAUGAUGAAGGUAAUGAGGAUCUGUCAGGGGAGGUUAGAUUAAUAUGAUGAGGGUAAUGAGGAUCUGUCAGGGGAGGUUAUAUUAAUAUGAGGGUAAUGAGAAUCUGGCAGGGGAGGUUAGAUUAAGAUGAGGGUAAUGAGAAUCUGACAGGGGAGGUUAGAUUAAGAUGAGGGUAAUGAGGAUCUGGCAGGGGAGGUUAGAUUAAGAUGAGGAUCUGACAGGGGAGGUUAGAUUAAGAUGAGGGUAAUGAGGAUCUGGCAGUUGCUCCCAGGAAAUGAUGUGAUUAUAUUCAGCAAACAUUUAUUCAAUUUGAACACAGGGAUUUCAGUGAACUUUCCCUGCAGGUCAAUGAUUAUUAUAAAGUCCUCAUCUAUAAUAUAAUAAAUGAAAGGAAAGCUAGUAGGUUACCCCUGAGACACCUCAGUGGUUGUACAAUGUAGACUAAAUCUCUGGGUGAUCUGAUCUCUCUCUGGUUCGUUAGUACACCAUUGGAGAACUGGCAGUACCCACUGAGUGUGGGAGGACUGUCAGUACCCACUGAGUGUGGGAGGACUGGGCAUCAAAGCUCCCGUUGUUGUGUAAGAGAACAGUGAAGGAGAAGUGUUUUCUCUCUCUGCUUUUGGUCAGUGUCCAGUCUACUUUGAUAUCUGGUGUGGGGGCAGUUUAGUCCAGGGAAACUCGUAUGGAUCAAUACAGAGCCCUAUAGCGAAUUGACGUAGGGGUUUGCAAGCAAGACAACGUGAUGUGCUGACGUCUUAAUAAGCUCAAUCAAUAGCGGAGGUGUGUGUGUGUGUGUGUGAGAUUUGUUAAACGAGUGUUUAGAGUGUUAUUUGUGUGUGUGUGCUUAUUUCCACAAGUUGUGUGAGAUUUGUCUGUGUGUGGAUUUACAGAGUAUCUGUCUGUGUAUCAAUCCAGGUGUUUCACCACUGCAGGGUUUGUAAAAAGAGCCCUCUGCCAAGCCGGAGCCCAGGAUGUGCUGCACCAAUAUCCCUGGCCAGCGGCUAUAGACGGGCUGUUCAUUCUGUUUCCUCCCAGGCGAUCACAGGGAGAUCCAUAUCUGGCUCUGGAAGUCAACUGUACUGCUGGUUAAUGGAUUGAUAAUGUCAUUGAUUGGCUGUCCAUUAACCUAUUGUACCAGGUCUGAGUCUGUCCCUGGCCUAAUUAGAAAGGAAAGAUUAAAACAGAAAUGCUGGAGACUGCAGACCAUUAGGGUCGACACAUACACACACACAAUGAGGCCUGGUAUAGGAAACUGCUCUGCUGUGUGUGAUUUUUCUGGGGGUAGUAUAAUGGAGGGUCUGGUCUAGAGGUCGACCGAUUAAUCGGAAUUGCCGAUUUCAUGUUUUCAUAAUCGGUAAUCUGCAUUUUUGAACACUGAUUGUGGCCGAUUUUUUUUUUUUUUUAAUGUUUAUUAUUAUUAUUUUUAACCUUGUAUUUAACUAGGCAAGUCAGUUAAGAACACAUUCUUAUUUUCAAUGACGGCCUAGGAAAGGUGGGUUAACUGCCUUGUUCAGGGGGAGAACGACCGAUUUUUACCUUGUCAGCUCGGGGAUUCAAUCUUGCACCCUUCUGGUUACUAGUCCAAUGCUCUAACCACCUGCCUUACAUAGCACGAGGACUCUGCGUGGCAGGCUGACUACCUGUUACGUGAGUGCAGCAAGAAAAGCCAAGGUAAGUUGCUAGCUAGCAUUAAACUUAUCUUAUAAAAAACAAUCAAUCUUAACAUAAUCACUAGUUAACUACACACGGUUGAUGGUAUUACUAGGUUAUCUAGCAUGUCCUGCGUUGCAUAUGAUCAAUGCGGUGCCUGCUAAUUUCUCAUCAAAUAACAGCCUACUUCGCCAAAAGGGUGUUGAUUUAACAAGCGCAUUUGCGAAAAAAUCACUGGCGUUGCACCAAUGUGUACCAAACCAUAAACAUCAAUGCCUUUCUUUAAAAUCAAUACACAAGUAUAUAUUUGUACACCUGCAUAUUUAGUUAAUAUUGCCUGCUAACAUGAAUUGCUUUUAACUAGGGAAAUUGUGUCACAUCUCUUGCGUUCCGUGCAAGCAGUCAGGGUUUAUGCAGCAGUUUGGGCCGCCUGGCUCGUUGUGAACUGUGUGAAGUCCAUUUAUUCCUAACAAAGACCGUAAUUAACUUGCCAGAAUUGUACAUAAUUAUGACAACAUUGAAGGUUGUACAAUGUAACAGCAAUAUUUAGACUUAGGGUAGUAUAGUGGAGGGUCUGGUGUGAUUGGUCUGGAGGGUAGUAUAGUGGAGGGUCUGGAGGGUCUUAUAGUGGAGGGUCUGGUGUGUUGUUCUGGAGGGUAGUAUAGUGGAGGGUCUGGUGUGUUGUUCUGGAGGGUAGUAUAGUGGAGGCCCUCUACUGUCCUGACACAGACCCUAGCCAGGGUAUUAGGAUGUAGACAGGAGACACCACCCCUAGCCUGGGUAUUAGGAUGUUGGGGGGUAGACAGGAGACACCGCCCCUAGCCAGGGUAUUAGGAUGUUGGGGAGUAGACAGGAGACAGGGGCACACAGGGUGUUAGGAUGUUGGGGAGUAGACAGGAGACAACGCCCCUAGCCUGGGUAUUAGGAUGUUGGGGGUUAGACGGGAGACACCGCCCCUAGCCUGGGUAUUAGGAUGUUGGGGUUAGACAGGAGACACCGCCCCUAGCCAGGGUAUUAGGAUGUUGGGGUAGAGACAGGAGACACCGCCCCUAGCCUGGGUAUUAGGAUGUUGGGGGUUAGACGGGAGACACCGCCCCUAGCCUGGGUAUUAGGAUGUUGGGGUUAGACAGGAGACACCGCCCCUAGCCAGGGUAUUAGGAUGUUGGGGUUAGACAGGAGACACCGCCCCUAGCCAGGGUAUUAGGAUGUUGGGGUUAGACAGGAGACACCGCCCCUAGCCUGGGUAUUAGGAUGUUGGGGGUAGACAGGAGACACCGCCCCUAGCCUGGGUAUUAGGAUGUUGGGGAGUAGACAGGAGACACCGCCCCUAGCCUGGGUAUUAGGAUGUUGGGGGUUGGGGGUAGACGGGAGACACCGUCCCUAGCCUGGGUAUUAGGAUGUUGGGGGUUAGACGGGAGACACCGACCCUAGCCUGGGUAUUAGGAUGUUGGGGAGUAGACGGGAGACACCGCCCCUAGCCUGGGUAUUAGGAUGUUGGGGGGUAGACGGGAGACACUGCCCCUAGCCAGGGUAUUAGGAUGUUGGGGGGUAGACGGGAGACAUACCACAUCACAUGGAGUGGGGAACAGGGGAACAGGGACACUGGGGAACAGGGACACUGGGGAACAGGGACACUGGGGAACAGGGGUACAGGAUG